rnacentral:rRNA from 1 species
GACGAACGCUGGCGGCGUGCUUAACACAUGCAAGUCGAACGGAAAGGCCCUGCUUUGGUGGGGUGCUCGAGUGGCGAACGGGUGAGUAACACGUGAGUAACCUGCCCUUGACUUUGGGAUAACUUCAGGAAACUGGGGCUAAUACCGGAUAGGAGCUCCUGCUGCAUGGUGGGGGUUGGAAAGUUUCGGCGGUUGGGGAUGGACUCGCGGCUUAUCAGCUUGUUGGUGGGGUAGUGGCUUACCAAGGCUUUGACGGGUAGCCGGCCUGAGAGGGUGACCGGCCAAAUUGGGAUUGAGAUACGGCACAGACUCCAACGGGAGGCAGCAGAGGGGAAUAUUGCACAAUGGGCGGAAGCCUGAUGCAGCAACGCCGCGUGGGGGAUGACGGCAUUCGGGUUGUAAACCGCUUUCGCCUGUGACGAAGCGUGAGUGACGGUAAUGGGUGAAGAAGCACCGGCUAACUACGUG